rnacentral:rRNA from 1 species
UUCUUAUUGAGAGUUUGAUCCUGGCUCAGGAUGAACGCUGGCGGCGUGGAUAAGGCAUGCAAGUCGAGAGGGUUUAGACCCUCGGCAAACGGGUUCGGAUAACAUAGGAAUUUUCCCUAAAGUCAUGGAUAAUCCAGAGAAAUUUGGAACAAUACAUGAUAUGCUCUACGGAGUAAAGAUUUAUCGCUUUAGGAGAAGCCUAUGUCCUAUCAGCUUGUUGGUGAGGUAAUAGCUCACCAAGGCUAUGACGGGUAGGGGGUGUGAGAG